GACGAACGCUGGCGGCGUGCUUAACACAUGCAAGUCGAACGGUAAGGCCCUUCGGGUACGACGAGUGGCGAACGGGUGAGUAACACGUGGGUGAUCUGCCCUGUACUUCGGGAUAAGCCUGGGAAACGUGGGUCUAAUACCGGAUAUGACCAAGGACUGCAUGGUUUUUGGUGGAAAGCCUGUGUUGUAAUAGGCACUGUGCGGUACAGGUUGGGCCCGCGGCCUAUCAGCUUGUUGGUGGGGUAANGGCCUACCAAGGCGGCGACGGGUAGCCGGCCUGAGAGGGCGACCGGCCACACUGGGACUGAGACACGGCCCAGACUCCUACGGGAGGCAGCAGUGGGGAAUAUUGCACAAUGGGCGGAAGCCUGAUGCAGCGACGCCGCGUGGAGGAUGACGGCCU
rnacentral:rRNA from 1 species